UAGAGAAAAGCUCACUUGUGAGGGCUUCUACAAAAGACAGGAAACUGUAAGCAGAAGGGGCAGCAGGAAGAAGGCUGCAGUCACUCCCUGGAGUGUUUCAGGGACUGCAAAGUUACUCCAAGGGAGGGGGGCGUGAAGAGAGUGGCAAACCCAGAGGAGUGAGGAAGGCUAGAAGGGAAACCACAAUAGUGACCUGGCUGGAGGACCGAGUCAUGAAGAGGACAGCUGUGGCUCCUGAAAGCUGAAGAGGAACUGCAGAGGAGAAAAUGAAGGGAUAUAACUGCUGGAAGGGGGUGAGCUAAUCUCUAGAACUGCCAGGGAGCAACACUAUCUAGUGGGGUCUUCAAGUUGGACAUAACAAAAUGGAAAAUCAUUCCAGCAUGAAACUUGAUAUAAGACCAUAGGGAUGCAAAGGCCAGCUUCUAAUUUGGCAUAAACCUGCAUGGGUCAACUGUCAACUUCCCUCCUGGACACCAUCCCCACCCCACAUUCUACCCUCUGCUCUAGCCCACGCUGGAGGUCCACCUCCAACAGUACCUUCAGGAACCCUGCCUGCCAGUUUAUACCAGCUGAGGUGGUUGCCCUAAUUUUUUGAAUAUUUUUUGUGUGUUUCUAAGUACAAAAUCAAAGGAAAGAGAUCCAAGCUGAAAGGUACUUCUUUACACUUUCAGAAACAGUAGCUUCAAGAUUUUGUGCGGCUACACCAAAAUUAAUUAAAGAAGUGGUAUUUUAUUUUUAAAGGCAAAUCUGUCAAAACAAGUAAAUAAAAUGCAAAGCUGGGUAAGACUGCAAACCUAAGUUCAGCUCUGGCACGAACUUCUGCAAUUCCUUUUGGCAACAUUAGGACUAGGGAAGAACUUAGUAUGCUGGAACAUAUCUCCAGCUAGUGUAAAUUAAUGUUGCUAUAUUGACUUUAAUGUAGCAAGGCCAGUUUAUACCAGCUAACGAUCUGGAUUGUGAACAUGACAGGCACUGUCAUCUGCCACUUUUCCUUCAUGCCAUCCUCACCUCACCGCUCCCCCCCCAAAAAAAGUGUUCUCACCAGAAUCUUCAGGCAAAACUAUUUACACUGAAUAAGGACUACAGGAUUUUCCAUUGACUAAUUAUGAAACAAGCUCUUUCCAGAAAAACAAAUAUUCACAGAGAAGUACUAAGCCUGUCAUUUACAGUAAGGCCACACAUUUCUCUGGCAGUUUUAAAAGGCCUUAAAGUGGGAAUGCAGCUAUUUUACCACAUUCCUCUGCUCUGUCUAGAAACAGCUAUGAAUCCCAUGGCAAAGCACUUGUCUCUAUCCCUCUUAAGAGGCAGGUCAAUGCAGAAGAUAACAGACUUAUACCACUUCCUGUUACUCCAUUAGCACAAAUGGUAGAGGUGGGUGGGUGUAAAAAUUCAAAACAAAACAUUCCCUGCAUAAUCUUCACCCACUGGGGAGAGGAUGAGAACAAACAAAUGACAUCCCAGUUCUGUUGCUUAAUGCCACAUUGGAAGGCUCGCAGAUACUGGGGGUGCAGUAUAAGGUCCUGUGUAGAAUAGAGAUGAUACAUGGCUAACCAAGUUUGCACCUGUGCUAGAUGGACUCCUUUGUACUGUUAAUUCACUUGUGACGUAGAGGGGUGUAACCAAUAUGUGUCUCAAUAAAGGUUUCAAAAAUCCUUAUUUGGGAACCCUCUUUCUCCUCUCACUAUGUGGGCGUAAAACAUUUGUUUUUGCCAAUAAAGUCAUUCAUAUCUCAUACUAAUUAUAUCAACUGUGGAGUAAUUAGUACUUUAUAUUGUGAUAGAGAAUCAGGUCAAUUGUCAGUUCAUAUUACACUAUGAAAGUGUACCUAAUAGUACCAAAAGCAACUCUCUACUUCCUGGGAAUAAGAAUUACUCUCAGCAAACAGCAUUAGCAACAGGAAAUUACAAAGCACAUGUUUCUUCAUUACCCACUAGAAAUAGCAUCACCAGAAACAGCAUCAUGAUCAAAAAAGAGAACUGUGUUGGGAAGUUUUCUUUUGCC